rnacentral:rRNA from 1 species
CCGCAGUCAUGGGCACUCUGGAGAAACCCAAAGGCGAAGAUAACACAACUGCUGUUUGCGGGAUUACGGGUGCACCACGGUCCUUCGCGGGACCGGCUAGCUGUGCGCCCCUCCAUCCCCGGGUGUUGCACCAAAUGGGGACCGCUCCGGCGGCGACCAUGCGACAUACCGUGAGCGCGUAGGAUGUGACCCGAAAGAUGGUGAACUAUGCCUGAUCAGGUUGAAGUCAGGGGAAACCCUGAUGGAGGACCGAAGCAAUUCUGACGUGCAAAUCGAUUGUCAGAGUUGGGCAUAGGGGCGAAAGACCAAUCGAACCAUCUAGUAACUGGUUCCUUCCGAAA